rnacentral:rRNA from 1 species
GCACAAGCGGUGGAUGAUGUGGAUUAAUUCGAUGCAACGCGAAAAACCUUACCUACCUUGACAUGCCAGGAACUUGCCAGAGAUGGCUUGGUGCUCGAAAGAGAACCUGGACACAGGUGCUGCAUGGCUGUCGUCAGCUCGUGUCGUGAGAUGUUGGGUUAAGUCCCGCAACGAGCGCAACCCUUGUCAUUAGUUGCCACCAUUCAGUUGGGCACUCUAAUGAGACUGCCGGUGACAAACCGGAGGAAGGUGGGGAUGACGUCAAGUCCUCAUGGCCCUUAUGGGUAGGGCUUCACACGUCAUACAAUGGUCGGUACAGAGGGUUGCCAACCCGCGAGGGGGAGCCAAUCCCACAAAGCCGAUCGUAGUCCGGAUUGGAGUCUGCAACUCGACUCCAUGAAGUCGGAAUCGCUAGUAAUCGUGGAUCAGCAUGUCACGGUGAAUACGUUCCCGGGUCUU